UACGGGGGGGGGCAAGCGUUUGUUCGGAAUUACUGGGCGUAAAGGGCGCGUAGGCGGCUCGGCACGUCCGUUGUGAAAUCGCCCGGCUCAACUGGGCGGAGUCGGCGGAUACGGCCGAGCUGGAGCAAGCUAGGGGGUAAUGGAAUUCCCGGUGUAGUGGUGGAAUGCGUAGAUAUCGGGAGGAACACCAGUGGCGAAGGCGGUUACCUGGAGCUUUGCUGACGCUGAUGCGCGAAAGCGUGGGGAGCGAUCCGG
rnacentral:rRNA from 1 species